rnacentral:rRNA from 1 species
AGGGUUCCUGUCCAACGUUAAUCGGGGCAGGGUGAGUCGACCCCUAAGGCGAGGCCGAAAGGCGUAGUCGAUGGGAAACAGGUUAAUAUUCCUGUACUUGGUGUUACUGCGAAGGGGGGACGGAGAAGGCUAUGUUAGCCGGGCGACGGUUGUCCCGGUUUAAGCAUGUAGGCUGGUUGUCCAGGCAAAUCCGGAUAAUCAAGGCUGAGGUGUGAUGACGAGGUACUACGGUGCUGAAGUAACAAAUGCCCUGCUUCCAGGAAAAGCCUCUAAGCAUCAGGUAACAUCAAAUCGUACCCCAAACCGACACAGGUGGUCAGGUAGAGAAUACCAAGGCGCUUGAGAGAACUCGGGUGAAGGA